GACGAACGCUGGCGGCGUGCCUAAUACAUGCAAGUAGAACGCUGAAGGAGGAGCUUGCUUCUCUGGAUGAGUUGCGAACGGGUGAGUAACGCGUAGGUAACCUGCCUGGUAGCGGGGGAUAACUAUUGGAAACGAUAGCUAAUACCGCAUAAUAUUGACUAUUGCAUGAUAGUCAGUUGAAAGGUGCAACUGCACCACUACCAGAUGGACCUGCGUUGUAUUAACUAGUUGGUGGGGUAACGGCUCACCAAGGCGACGAUACAUAGCCGACCUGAGAGGGUGAUCGGCCACACUGGGACUGAGACACGGCCCAGACUCCUACGGGAGGCAGCAGUAGGGAAUCUUCGGCAAUGGACGGAAGUCUGACCGAGCAACGCCGCGUGAGUGAAGAAGGUUUUCGGAUCGUAAAGCUCUGUUGUAAGAGAAGAACGAGUGUGAGAGUGGAAAGCUCACACUGUGACGGUAUCUUACCAGAAAGGGACGGCUAACUACGUG
rnacentral:rRNA from 1 species